ACCUGUGCCACUGCAGUGACCAUGCCAUAUCCUUAACUCACUGAGCCCCAUGGGAACUUCUGUUUGACCUUUCUAAGGCUCAGUGUUCUUACAUAUAAAAUGAGAUAAUAAAAGCAUGAACCUGAUAGUAAAAAACAAAUAAAAUGAGAGAAGUAUGACAUCAAAAGACGCUUAAAGCUCAUUCCUAUUUAUAUCCAGACCUGUAGCUCUCGUAUAUAAAUUGUCUCCCUUUUUAUUAUGCGUCAUAAAGUGUGGUAAAUACUACAAAUAUUAUCUCAUUUCAUCCUCAUAAUAUUUGUUACAAGGAGGUACUGUUAUUCUACUUUCUAAUCCUUUUGUUUCUGUAAUAUUGAUAGUAAUAUCCCCUCUUUUCUGAUUUUACUUGUUUGAAGUCUUCUCUCUCCUUAAUCAAUCUAAACAUUUGUAAAUUAUUUAUUUAUUUAUUUUAUUUCCCCAAUACAUUAUUUUUUUUUCUACUGUACAGCAACUUGACCCAGUUACACAUACGUGUAUACAUUCUAUUUUCUCACAUCAUCAUACUCCAUCAUAAGUGACUAGACAUAGUUCCCAGUGCUACACAGCAGGAUCUCAUUGCUAAAUUUUGAAACUGAUGCCUAAUUUUUAAGAUGUUACAGAUCUGAGUCAAGAUUCAAACUAAGACUGUCAGGUUCCAAAGCUUAAUCUCAUCGGCUGUUUUGAAAAGAAGGCACCAAAUCUGGGUUCACACCAACGUUUAACUCACAGAAAAUUCAUUUUGUAAUUUUGCUAUGGCACAUCACAUUACUUGAUAUGCUAUGGCUUAAAUUUUAUUCCCUAGUAGUCACACUUAAGUACCCUCCUAUUUCUUUUCUUUUUAAAUACUUCAAGCGUGAAGUUGAGUACAGACAUAAUUAUAACUAAAAACUAUGUACUACCACCCAGCUUGGUCAGAUAUUAUAAUUUCAUCAAAUUUGCUUCAGAUCUUUUUUUUUAAAAAAAUAAAUCAUUACAGAAAUAAGCAUAUGAAUUCCUUCCUAAUUCCAAAAAUACGACUCUUCUUUUAAAUUUCCAUGCAUGUUUUUCUGCUUCUAAUACAUGUUUGCAACCAUAAACAAUAUGUAGAACUGUUUUGCCUAAUUUGAAACUUGGUUUAAAUGGUAUCUCACUGUCAGCAUCCAUCUGAGGUCUGCUUAUAUCGUUGAAUAUGUUUUAAAGAUUUUGCCACUUGGAUGGAAUUAGUGUAAAUUCUUUUAACAUUUAGAUAGUGUUUUAUCAUAUGUUUAUAUUCUGACUUAACCACUCAUAUUGAUGGACAUUAGGGUUGUUUCCAAGUUGUAAGAAUACAAAUAAUGCUGCAAUAAGUACAUAUAUAUAUAUUUUUUUGGCUGCACCAGUGACACAUGGAAGUUCCCAAGCCAGGGAUCAAAUCUGACCUUCAGCUGCAACCUACACCACAGCUGUAGCAAUGCCAGAUCCUUAAUCCACUGCACCAGGCAGGAUUGAACCCACACCUCCACAGUGACUAGACCUGCUGCAGUAGGAUCCUUAAUCCACCCUGCCACAGUGGGAACUCCUGCAAUGACUAUUGUUAUACUGCCAGGCCACAUAUUGUGAGAUUUCUCUAUUAAGCUGCAAGGCCAAGGAGUAUACUCAUCCUCAAAGUUAUGAGAUAUAACAAAAUGCCCUACAAAGUGGCAGCAGUAACUCACAUUAAACCAGCAUUAGUUCAUAUCAUUCCACACAUCUGGUAUUGCCAGGCUUUAAAAUGUUUUUACUCUGUUGGAGAUAAAAUAUUUCAUACUUUAACAUGCAUUUCCCUACCUAUGAGUGAGAUUAAACAUUCUUUUAUUUUUUAUUUUAUAUUUUUAUAUUAGUUCUUUUUCACUUCUGCUUUUUAUAUGCCUAUUUUUCUACUAAGUUGUUAAAGGAGGGAGACAAGACAUACUAAACAAAUAAGAAAGCAAAAUACCUAGGAUGUCAAAUGGUCAUAUACACUAUGGGAAGACCAGAAGCAGAGAAGGGGUGAGAAUUCAAUCUUAAAUAGAAUAAUUAGGGAAGAACUUAGCAGGAAGGCGACAUUUAGCAAAGUCCUAAAAUCAGUGCAGGCAGAAGCUAUAACGGGAAAAUUAUAACGUGAUCAGACAUGAAGUGGUACAUAGGGAUUUGUUAUGAUUAUAAGCUAUGAAAAUUUCUUUGCUUUGAACACAACUCUUUUCAGUUAUAUAUGUUGCAACUAUUUUUCCUAGUCCAAAGCUAACCUUCUUAUUUUGUUUACAGUGACACAUAAAACUUUUAAAAACUUAAUGCAAUAAAAUAUAUUAGUACUUUCCUUUAAGGUAGGUGUUUUUUGUUUGUUUUAUUCAAUAAAUCCUUUCCUAUCCCUGAGUCAUAAAGAUAUUCUCCUAUAGUUAUUUUUAAAGUUUUUAAAGAUAAGCCUUUUGCAUUUAAUGCACUUGGGACUGGUAUUAUUUAUAUGAUUUCGUGUUAGGAUUCAACAAAGUUUCUGUAUAGGUAUUAUGCAUCGUCCUUGUACCAUUUUAAUCUUAGUCUAUGCUGUCUGCAUUGAUUUGUAAUGAUAUACCUAUCAUACUUUAUGUGUAAAAUCAGCAUAGUUUAUUUUGGGGCUCUAGAUUUCAUUCCAUUUUUCUACUUUCUAUUUCUGUGCAAAUUAAUACUCACACUGCCCUAAUUACCACAACUAUAAUCUUACAUUUUCACAACUGGUAAGACCUAUCCAUCUAUGGCUCCUACAUCUGCCCUCCUUCCUUCCAUUCCUCCAUCUCAUCCAUCCAUCCAUCCCUUAUUAUUAUUCAUAAAUAUUUCUUUUGAGCCUAACUUUGCCAAACACUGGUUUGGCCCCUAGGGAUUUAAUAACAAAGUAAACAGAUAUCUCUACCCUCAUGGAGCUUACAUUCCAGGCAAUGGAGACAGACACUAAAAUAAACGAUAAAUAAGUAUGCCAGAUGGUGAUGAUGGCCAUGGAGACACAGGAAGCAGGGACGAGGAUCUAGCACAUGAUAACACCUGAUAUAAUACAAACACCCCAAAAUCUAAUGGGAUAAACAUGAACUUCUUUUCAAUACACACUAGACAUUUAGAGAUUGCAAUAAAAACUCAAGAUGCUCACGCUCGAAGUCUCGCAACAGUUUACAACUUUUGGUGAUUUAUUUCUAUCCCUAAGGGAUGGUAUAUGAAAAUGCAACCUGUCCUUGCCAGGCUGUGAGUACACAGGGAAGUUUAUUCUAGUCACCUGGGAGAAGAGAUCAGAGCACAUAUGCAUUCUGUCUGGUCCUUUACUUUGGCCUGACUUAAGACACUAGUCUUGGACCAGAAUGAGACUGCAGUUUGUCAGCUGGACAGCAUGGAAGCCUGGAAAAGUUUCUGGUUCUAGAGAGCUGGGAAUAAGCCCAGAGUUCAUAAACACAACUCCUUCACAAAAUACUAAUAUUUUACAAGCUGUCUGGAAGUGUUAUACACUUAAAAUUGAAUAAGCACUACUUUUGCUACCUCCCUCAACUUCUAGGGUAAAAAAGCCAAUGGAUCAUUGCUUUUAAAAGUUUAUUUAUAUGUUUUAGCCCAGUUGUCAAAUCUUUGGCAGUGAUCAUCAUUACCCUGUGUGAAGUUCAGUAUAUUUUAUUUUUAACCCACAAUGGGCUCUGCGUAACUCUAGGCAAGUUAUUUCACCCUUCUAAACGUCAGUUUCCUCACUUCAAGGCAGGGUAACAAUACCUAAUUGCAGACUUGUCGUGACUAUUAAGUACUAUUUUGAAAGACCUUAGGACAGUGACAGUAUGGGGUAGUCAUGGAAAAAAUGGCAGUCCCUAUCAUUAGAACUGUUAUACAAAUAAUCACAGAUAUUUGCCAAAG
rnacentral:lncRNA from 1 species